rnacentral:rRNA from 1 species
AUUGAACGCUGGCGGCAGGCCUAACACAUGCAAGUCGAACGAGUGGCGGACGGGUGAGUAAUGUCUGGGAAACUGCCUGAUGGAGGGGGAUAACUACUGGAAACGGUAGCUAAUACCGCAUACCAUCGGAUGUGCCCAGAUGGGAUUAGCUAGUAGGUGGGGUAAAGGCUCACCUAGGCGACGAUGCCUAGCUGGUCUGAGAGGAUGACCAGCGACACUGGAACUGAGACACGGUCCAGACUCCUACGGUAGGCAGCAGUGGGGAAUAUUGAACAGGGGGCGCAAGCCUGAUGCAGCCAGGCCGCGUGUAUGAAGAAGGCCAUCGGGUUGUAAAGGACUUUCAGCGAGGAGGCGUUACCCGCAGAAGAAGCACCGGAUACUCCGUGCCAGCAGCCGCGGUAAUAC